CGUGUAGGCGGCCUGAUGUGUCAGAUGUGAAAGCCCUGGGCUUAACCCAGGAAGUGCAUUUGAAACUGUUAGGCUUGAGUAGGGGAGAGGGAAGUGGAAUUCCUGGUGUAGAGGUGAAAUUCGUAGAUAUCAGGAGGAACACCGGUGGCGAAGGCGACUUCCUGGCCCUAUACUGACGCUGAGACGCGAGAGCGUGGGUAGCAAACA
rnacentral:rRNA from 1 species